rnacentral:rRNA from 1 species
CAGCAGCCGCGGGAAUACGUAGGUGGCAAGCGUUGUCCGGAAUUAUUGGGCGUAAAGCGCGCGCAGGUGGUUUAAUAAGUCUGAUGUGAAAGCCCACGGCUCAACCGUGGAGGGUCAUUGGAAACUGUUAAACUUGAGUGCAGGAGAGAAAAGUGGAAUUCCUAGUGUAGCGGUGAAAUGCGUAAAGAUUAGGAGGAACACCAGUGGCGAAGGCGGCUUUUUGGCCUGUAACUGACACUGAGGCGCGAAAGCGUGGGGAGCAAACAGGAUUAGAUACCCGCGUAGUCCCUGUCUCUUAUAC